rnacentral:rRNA from 1 species
GAUGAACGCUGACAGAGUGCUUAACACAUGCAAGUCUACUUGAUCCUUCGGGUGAUGGUGGCGGACGGGUGAGUAACGCGUAAAGAACUUGCCUUGCAGUCUGGGACAACGUCUGGAAACGGACGCUAAUACCGGAUAUUAUGUGAGUUUCGCAUGAAAUUCAUAUGAAAGCUAUAUGCGCUGCAGGAGAGCUUUGCGUCCUAUUAGCUAGUUGGUGAGGUAACGGCUCACCAAGGCGAUGAUAGGUAGCCGGCCUGAGAGGGUGAACGGCCACAAGGGGACUGAGACACGGCCCUU